ACUCAUUUGUCCCUCUCUCCAUUCCUCUAUGCAAUCGACCACUCCUUCUCUCCCACUAAAUCAAAGAAGCCCGAAAUUAAUCCAAGUGGAGGGGAAUGAAGUAAUUUUUACUGUACAGAAAUAAGCCUCUCAGUGCCAAUAUCUCCAUCAUCUACGUCGUCAUCUUCGCCUCCACCUCUACUGUCGUCCUCCUCCUCCGUACCCUUUGGUACCAUCACGGCUAGCUCCCUGUUGUCAUAAGCCGCGGAUAGCCAGCUCUGGCCGCGUACACUUAUUGGAGUCGAAAUCGCCAUAGAUCGAGCUCCAACUUACUUCUUGACAAGUCAACGACACCAUUUUCUCGGUUUAAAUUCUUAGUCACUCCACGGUAGAUCUCAGUUGCAUCGAUAGUGAAGCCUUUGUAUUAUCUUCAUUGAUUUGAAAUAAUUUGCAGGAAGUGAAACAUAUAUCUGAAAGUAUAAUUAUCAUGCUUCAAUUUCUUCUUUUUGUAUAGAUUUUCCCCCUUUUUGGAGCUGUAGUGCAAGAACUGAACACAAUUGGUAGUGGGUUAUUGUUUGGUUUAGAGAGGAUGGAGUGGCUACCGUCUAUGACUGUGUUCGAUCCAUCAAGAUGCAAGCAGUGAUUUUGUAGGUGUUCUAGUGAUGAAAAGGAUUGCCAACCCUACUUCUUCAAAUACUUUGGAGAUAAUUUUCAUUUAGGGGCAAAGAUUAGGCAAUUGGCAUUUUCAAGGGCUCUAGGGAUUACCUUUGGCGUCUUUUCCAUUUGUGGUCCCGAGGUGAUGGUGGAGCCAGAGGAAGUUGAAGAAGGGCAAUAUCCUCAUCGAAACUCAGACUAGUACCACAGAAGGCUUUGCUAGGAUAAAAACUUCAUUAUGAUAGUUUUAGAAAUUCUCUCUUUUUUUCCCUUUACAUGUAUUUUUUUUUUCUUUGCAUAGGAAAUUGAUCUGGAAAGUAAAGCUAGAUAUGACAAGGCUAUAUUUAAAGUAAUUGAUUUUGAUGAUUAUGUAGGAGAUGAUGAUGAGUACAAGGAAAAGUUAAAGAAAGAAAGUUUAGCAUUCUUCUUCUUAGCCACAUAGUUUUCGUGUAGCAUUGUUCUUAGUUGCAUAAAAAUACUUCUUAUAUUUAUGGGUGAAACAAAUUAUGUGUACAUAAUCUGUGAAAUCAGAUAAUCAAUGAAUUGUUUGUAUCCAUUUUCUCAUUGAUUUCCAUUGAUUUGGUUGGUGGUUUCAGAUACGGAGAUGGCAAGCCUACCAACAAUGCAGCAAGGUUCUACAAGUGGUUUGCAUAGGUAAAGUAUAAUUAUUGAGAGUUACAUUCUCCAUAGGACUCUGCAUUAGAUUUAGGUUAAUUUUUAUAUGCGAUGCAGGGAGAAGAGAGAGGUGACUGGAUUAAGAAUCUUUAUUAUGAAGUAUUUGGCCUUGGAAACAUGAAAUAUGAGUAUUUUAACAAGGUCUAAGAUUGAUAGUUAGAAGAUAUAAAUAAAGUUCAGUUCUACAUUAGCUCAGAUCUCUAUAUCUCAAAUUUUAUUGUUCAAUAAAUCUUAUUGGUAAUAAUUAGUUGAUUUUUUUCUUUUGUUCUUGUUGUUCGAGGUUUUAAGAGAUCAUUCCCAAAAUACUACAAUAUUCGACAUCCUUUGGAGUUUGUUGAGUUCAAGUCUGUUGCUUUCAUAAUCUUCUUUUGUAUUUUUCCCCAUUUUGUUCCCUUUUUCGAAUGAUUUAGGGGUUUGUAUGUUUGUAGAUUAAAUUUUGAAUUUCAUCAUUUUCAAACAAAAAAUGUGGAAAAAGUGACUUUCGUGUCAAUUUCGGCCAAAUAUUCGAACUUGAUUAGAUAGUUAAAUUAUAAAUGUAACUUGACUAACUUGCUCUACUCAUCGAGUAGAUCAUCAUAGUAUAUUUGGAAGCUCAAAACCAAUUCCAGAAUGAAUAAAAAAUAGCGGUCCAAAGUUGAAAGAAAAAAGAGGAAAACUGGCUUGGAAGAAUUGAUGACCCGAAGGAAGAAUCAAGAAAUUGAAUGAGCUAAGUAUCAAUUGGGAAUCAUAGUGAGAUGAUGGAACAAGAUGGACGAAGAGAGGAGGCCAAUAAACAAGAAAAUAGAGUUUGGGGACCAAAAUGGCAGAAAUUGGAAGACUUCUACCAUGCGGUCAGAUGGUAGAACCUUCUUACGGUUGCACAAGAUGGUCCAAGGUGUUCCAGAACCAAAACCAAGUGUACCAUGCGGUCGCAUAGGUUAACACCAUGUGGGCGCAUGGUAGGAAUUUUUGACGCGAUUCUUCAGUUUCCUGUUUUUGUUAAAACUCUUUUGCAACUCAAUUAGGACGUGAUAUAUAAACCUAAACUUGCCAAAUUUCAAGGGAGAAUGCAUGAGGGGUAACAAAACACAUCUCGGCAAAGAUUUUGUGCAAAAGUAACCAAGUAUUUCAUGAAGAUAAUCGAGAUUUCACAUGAAUUCAUAAUCUAGUGAUGUUUUAUCCUCAAGAAAUCAUAUAUUCUGUUAUUUUCUCAAUGUUAGGUUAAAUAUUUUUGUAUUAGGAGAUCGAUAAACCAUGUGAUGUAAUAUUUGGAUUUCUAGUUUAGUAAUUCGACAUUAAAACGCGUAUUUGAUUAUUUGAA